AACAUCUAAGUACCCCGAGGAAAAGAAAUCAACCGAGAUUCCGAAAGUAGCGGCGAGCGAAAUUGGACUAGCCCUUAAGCUUUACACGCGUUAGACGAACGGUCUGGAAAGUCCGACGAUACAGGGUGAUAGUCCCGUAGUUGACGACGUGUGUUCAGUGAAAUCGAGUAGGGCGGGACACGUGAUAUCCUGUCUGAAUAUGGGGGGACCAUCCUCCAAGGCUAAAUACUACUGACUGACCGAUAGUGAACCAGUACCGUGAGGGAAAGGCGAAAAGAACCCCUGUGAGGGGAGUGAAAUAGAACCUGAAACCGUGUACGUACAAGCAGUAGGAGCAGGCUUUGUCCUGUGACUGCGUACCUUUUGUAUAAUGGGUCAGCGACUUAUAUUCAGUGGCAAGGUUAACCAUCUAGGGGAGCCGUAGGGAAACCGAGUCUUAACUGGGCGUUCAGUCUCUGGAUAUAGACCCGAAACCAGGUGAUCUAGCCAUGGGCAGGUUGAAGGUUGAGUAACAUCAACUGGAGGACCGAACCGACUAAUGUUGAAAAAUUAGCGGAUGACUUGUGGCUAGGGGUGAAAGGCCAAUCAAACCUGGAGAUAGCUGGUUCUCCCCGAAAGCUAUUUAGGUAGCGCCUCGGACGAAUACUACUGGGGGUAGAGCACUGUUAAGGCUAGGGGGUCAUCCCGACUUACCAACCCUUUGCAAACUCCGAAUACCAGUAAGUACUAUCCGGGAGACACACGGCGGGUGCUAACGUCCGUCGUGGAGAGGGAAACAACCCAGACCGCCAGCUAAGGUCCCAAAUUACUACUAAGUGGGAAACGAUGUGGGAAGGCUCAGACAGCCAGGAUGUUGGCUUAGAAGCAGCCAUCAUUUAAAGAAAGCGUAAUAGCUCACUGGUCGAGUCGGCCUGCGCGGAAGAUGUAACGGGGCUAAGUAGUAAACCGAAGCUGCGGCAAUAUACUUUUGUAUAUUGGGUAGGGGAGCGUUCUGUAAGCGGUUGAAGGUGUGUGGUAACGCAUGCUGGACGUAUCAGAAGUGCGAAUGCUGACAUGAGUAACGAUAAAGGGGGUGAAAAACCUCCUCGCCGGAAGACCAAGGGUUCCUGUCCAACGUUAAUCGGGGCAGGGUAAGUCGACCCCUAAGGCGAGGCCGAAAGGCGUAGUCGAUGGGAAACGGGUUAAUAUUCCCGUACUUCUUACAAUUGCGAUGGGGGGACGGAGAAGGCUAGGUGGGCCUGGCGACGGUUGU
rnacentral:rRNA from 1 species